ACCUACGGGGGGCAGCAGUGGGGAAUAUUGGACAAUGGGGGCAACCCUGAUCCAGCAAUGCCGCGUGAGUGAUGAAGGCCUUAGGGUUGUAAAGCUCUUUUGCCAGGGAAGAUGAUGACUGUACCUGGAGAAUAAGCCCCGGCUAACUUCGUGCCAGCAGCCGCGGUAAUACGAAGGGGGCUAGCGUUGUUCGGAAUUACUGGGCGUAAAGGGCGCGUAGGCGGCCGUUUAAGUUAGGUGUGAAAGUCCUGGGCUCAACCUGGGGACUGCACUUAAUACUGGAUGGCUUGAAUUCGGGAGAGGAUAGCGGAAUUCCCAGUGUAGAGGUGAAAUUCGUAGAUAUUGGGAAGAACACCGGUGGCGAAGGCGGCUAUCUGGACCGACAUUGACGCUGAGGCGCGAAAGCGUGGGGAGCAAACAGGAUUAGAUACCCCUGUAC
rnacentral:rRNA from 1 species